rnacentral:lncRNA from 1 species
AAUAGUACCUCAUGCAUGUGAGCUGGUAUUUUCUGUGACAGAGUUGCACUAACAGUAUGUAGGUUGUUGGAUUACAGGCUGGUACAGAUGCAGAAAGAUGUUACCGGAAUCCAGGUUCUUGUUCACGCAAAGAAGGGUUUCCUUUAAUAAAGACUUCGUGAACACACAGGCAGCAGGCAAACAGAGUUCGAAGUCUUUAUUAAAGGAAAGCAAAUAGCUCCCAGGGCUGCUGGGACGGGAGAGAAGAGCCCCUUUCUCUAUUGUCCUGUAGGGGUUUUUAUCCCAUAAAGAUGGGGAGGGUACCAAUGUGGGGUCUAGAAAGCUGUGGUUUUCUCCCGUGGGCCUUGCCCAGUAGGGGUCUUUGGGGACCUUUCCAUCCCUAAGUUUUGCGAUUUGUCCUUCUCUUUCCUUAGACUGAGUCACCCUUCCUCUCAUUCCUUUUCUGUUGGUUGAGGAGUGGGUUAGAGAUUAGGGUCCAUGUGGGAGAAAGCCCACUUCCCAGAGUGAACAAGGCCUGUGGGGAACCGCUCUCCCUGAGCCCUUAAACGACGAACGUUAACCAAUCGCGGUACCAAAGAAUGCCCACGCUCCUGCGCGGACUACCCGGGUCAGGACUCUGCCUCGGUACCACUGUUAUCUCAAAUUUUUCUUCAGGAGAGGACCCAGCCUCGGCACCAGCUGGGAAGUGGCCAGGUGUAGCUGGGGACAAAGCCUCAGGAGUCACUGAGGCUCUGUCCCCAGCUAUCCCCUGUUUUCCCAGGACUCUACUGGCCCCUCAGGGGGCCCCUCCCUUUCACCAAGAGGCCUAUUCAAAGGCCACCCUUUCAGGUUCGUCUUAGUGGCCUAGGAAAGGCUGUUUUGACCUCUUCCUUGAUUUCCUGUGUCCUUUCAUUUGGAAAGUGAGGUUUAGGAGACAAGAAUUAAAAGACAAUGGUUUUGCUGUUUUAAAGGACCUUCCUUUGCGAGUGGGGGGUGCAAUCUCCGCCAUUUCCUGCAAUCACACACCAGAUGGCAGUGUUCAGUUAGUCAAAAGAAAAAUCCUAGCCUAGGACUUGCUGUCUAAGAUAAAAGCGUUAGCUAAUUCUAAACGGCUCUCCGGUCGGCCCUUCAGAGCUUCUUGAAGGCACAGUCAGUGGCGCUACUAUAUUCUGAACGUAGUAGCAACCCUGAGAGCUACAGAAGUGAGGAUUAAGUUCAUGGGAGUGACCAGGAGGCCCAUCCAGGGUCUGUUCAAUUGCAAAGUCAUGGUCAAGGAGCGCCCGUCGCAGCUUGGCGGUUAACAAACCUGACUGCAACCCAUGAGGUUGCAGGUUCGAUUCCUGGCCUCGCUCAGUGGGUUAAGGGUCUGGCGUUGCCAUGAGCUGUGGUGUAGAUCACAGACGUGGCUCGGAUCCCGAGUUGCUGUGGCUCUGGCGUAGGCCGGAGGCUACAGCUCGGCUUGGACUCCUAGCCUGGAAACCUCCAUAUGCCAUAGAUGUGGCCCUAAAAAGACCAAAAAACAAAAAAACAAAUACGCAAAGUCAUGGUCUAUAAGUGGCUGGCCUAAGACCGACCAUAACCCAGGUCUUCCGGCUCCUACUGCGACCUUCACUUGUCUGAAGUUGUUAACUGGAAAACUGGAUUCUCCUCUUGGUGGGCAUCCAGCCAAAAGACACAAUAAGCCCCCCAAAAGACACAACCAGCCAAGCCCAAGACGGGGGAAGGAAGGAUUCACUACUCGCAGCAAGUAAGGAAAACACCGAGGGGCUUUCCCAACUUUGCUCUUGGGGACCCAUGACUUUGGGAAAGUUUUAAGCUGGCUGCACAUGCAUCUUCAUGAAAGGGCUCGAGCAGAGAAGAAUUCAGCAUAGAGUUGGGGCAAGGAUCAACUGAGUCCCAGCUUUGGUCGACGGCGUCGCGAGGGUCAGCAAAGGUCAACCUCAUCAUCCAGGAGGUUUCCGCUGAUCUGGUGGCUGAGCGCUGGGAGGCGAUGAGGGCAGGGGUGGAAGGAGGGAGGGGUGAGUUACAUUCUGAAGAAGAGCCUCAAAAGUGCUUUCAGGAUAACCUUAACCUUCAAAACAGAACCGGGACUCUUUUUCUUCCAUAUGCUGCAGGUACAGCCAUAAGAAGAAUCACAGCUGCAGCUGCAGGCCUACACCCCAGCCAGGCAACACCAGAUCCAAGCCACAUCUGCCACCUACACUGCGGUUGCAGCAAUGCCUGCCAGAUCUUUAACCCACUGGUGAGGCCAGGGAGGGAACCUGCAUCCUCAUGGAGACCAUGUCAGGUCCUCAUCCUGCUAGGCCACAGCAGGAACUCCUAGAACUAGGAGGCUUUACAAGUGGUAUAGCAUCUUUGCUAUUGCUUGCUCCCUUAAGAUCUCAUUACUUAAUGAAUUUUAUUACAAUUACAUUUGUAUAACGAUCGUCACAGCCAAAUUGUCCUUAAGAUGGAUCUUUAAGCCUGGCCACAAUGCCUCCAACAGGUCUCAGUAACAGAGGACAAAACGGCUUAGGCCUAAAGUGACUUAUGUCAGAAAGUUAUACCUGGUCUUUCUUUGGGGACUCCCCAUCCCCACAUGCUUACAAACUGAGUAGUAAAGACAGCCUUUUCUUUCAGUCUUCCUCUCAGACCUGAAAGUCUGGCCCAUGAGCCCACCCUCCCGCCCGGCCCUCCCCUCCUCCACCACCACCCUGAGUUGUUCAAGUAUCUCAAAGCACCUGUUCUGAAGGCAGUCUGGUUUUGCUGGGCUUUUCCCCUCUCUUGAUGCCCAGCUACUGUCACCAGAGACAAGACCAGAAACAAGUCAAGUCCUGUGAUGCUAGUUAUUUUCGAGAGUGUUAGGUCUCCUGUUAUGAAACAGACUCCAUUCUAUCUAUUGGUCUUAGUAGUUUGGGGUUUUUUUUUUUUUUCAUUUUUAAAAAAAUUUUUUUACAGCUGCACCUGAGGCAUAUGGAAAUUUCCAGGCCAGAAGUUGAAUCAAUCAGAGCUGCAGCUGCCAACCUACACCACUGCCAGGCCAGGUCCGAGUGCAUCUGAGACCUACACAACUCAUGGCAACACUGGAUCCUUAACCCACUGAGCGAAACCAGGGAUGGAACGUGAGUCCUCACAGAGACCAGCUGGGUUCUCAAGCUGCUGAGCCGCAAUGGGAACUGCCCCCCGCCCCUUUUGGCAUUUGAAACUGUUCCUCUGGGAGUUACAAUAUCCAUCCUUGACUUUCCACACUCUACAAGGUUUUUACAUAUUUUGUGAAGUGGUACAAUAUUGAUGCUACAUAUAUAUGUUCAUUUAUCUGUCACCAUCCUUUUCCAUAUCAAUCAUAUAUAAAUAUGCAUUAGAAACUUCCUGAGAAAAUGAGUUUCUCUAAAAUCAUACACCCAUAAAGCAAAAAUUAGAAGAAAAAAGUAACCUUAAAUAUUUAUUUAAAUAUUCACCAUUUCCGAUGAUUUGAUUUAUUCCUCCCUCCCGGAAGAGUCAAAUUCUCCUCCAUGUUUGUUUCUCUUCAACCUAAAGAAUUCGCCUUAGCAUUCAUUUCCUAUAGAGUGGUGGUAGGAAAAUGCUGACGAAGUUUCUUUCAUCUACAAAUGCCUUAUUUCAUGUUCAUCCUUGAGGAAUAAUUCUGCUCAAUACAGAAUUCUAGGUGGAUAGUUGUUUAAGUACUUUUAGACAUUAUUUCCUUAUCUUUUGCUUUCUAUAGUUUGAAUGCAUGAAAACCAUGGCUAGGUAUAUCCUAGGCGACUGAUCCCCACAGAUAAAAAGAAUUUUGUAAACACACAGAGAGAAACGUAUAAUACACAUGGGGAACAAUGAUGCAAAUUGUCACCAAUUUCUCAUUUUAGUUCGGGUUUUCUGAACUUCUUAGACCUGCAUGUUAAUGUUUUAGCCCAAAUUGAAAGUGUUGACUGUGCAAAUUGCUCUCUUUGUGGGGCCACUUCAAGGGAACCAACAUGCAGGUAAUUGCCUCCCUCUAAAGGUAUCUGUAAUCCUAAAAGCAAGUUCCUAAGGCGCUUCAAUACUCUUCACAUUCUAAAACUUUGAUUGCUCUUUCUUAGUCCCACUUAUUCACUCUAGCUGCUCAUACGGGGUUUUCCUUUUCUCUGGAGGCUUUCAAUGGACUUGGGGUCAAGGGGUCAGGAUUUUUUUUUCUUUUUUUACUUCGAACCAAGUUCAUUAUUCUGUGGACAAUAGCCAUUUCCACAGACCUCCUUAGUGACUAAUCUCAGAAAAAGACCAAACUAAACCAACCAAAACAAAUGCUCCCCUCUCCACCACGUAGAGAAGGGAGCAAUCUGGAUUCAAAAAAACCUAGCAGGAGUUCCCAUCAUGGCUCAGGGAGUUAAGAAUCUGGCUAGAGAGUUCCCAUUGUGGCACAGCAGAAAUGAAUCUGACUAGUGUCCACGAGGAUGCAGGUUCAAUCCCUGGCCUCAGGGGGAUUAAGAAUCCAGGGUUGCCGUGAGGUGUGGUGUAGGUCGUAGACACGGCUUAGAUUCCACGCUGCUGUGCCCAAAAGCUCUGAUUCGACCCCUCAUCUGGGAACUUCCAUGUGCUGCAGGUGUGGCCCUAAACAGCCAAAAAAAAAAAAAAAAAAAA